CCAGAGGGCCGGGCGGCCGCCGCUUGUCGCAAGACGAGGGGAGGAAAGUCCGGGCUCCGCAGAGUGAAGGUGCCGGGUAACGCCCGGCGGGCAGGCUGGGAACGGCCUGUUCAGGGACAGUGCAACAGAAAGCAUACCGCCCGUUUUCGAGCGGGUAAGGGCGAAAGGGUGCGGCAAGAGCGCACCGCGCUUCCGGCAACGGCGGCGGCACGGCAAACCCCACCUGGAGCAAGACCGAAUAGGAGCGGCACAUGGGGUUACUCGCCUCCGUCGCUCGGGUUGGUUGCUUGAGGCGGCGCGCGAGCGUCGCCCUAGAGGAAUGGUCGCCCAUCCCGUUCGCGGGAGGACAGAACCCGGCUUACAGGCCCUCUGGCGUU
rnacentral:RNase_P_RNA from 1 species